UCAAGUGCAGUUUUGAACAAGUCAGGUCUGAGAGGCCUAUUCAGCCUCCAAAUAGAGUCAGCCACAAGCUUCUGGUUUCUGGGGCAGGAGUCAGGACAGGAGAUGGGGACAUGGGCAUCAUCAGCCCUGGGUGGACUUUACAUCCUUGGGACCAGCCAGACCGGCCAGGAAGUGAGUCUAGAGAGAGAGGACACAAGUCACAUCAGCGAAGAGACAAGAGCUUUCAAAAGGGAACACGCAGCUGUGUCUAUUACGCGGGAGAGCCUUUAUUUGCUGAGACUCACAAUGAUCCUGUGAGCUCAUAACGACCCCAUUUUACAGACGUCAACGACCCUGGGUCAUCUAGCUAUUUCAUAACUCCUGGUAACUCCUCAUCCUCUGGUUAUACCAACAUACCAGUAUUUUUAGUUUCUUCAGUGGGAGAAUUGAUAUGAACGAUUUAGCCUGACAUUACCAGAAAAGAGAAGUCUGCC